UCUCUUAAGCUUACCUCUGUGUAUGAUAAUGUUCUAUAUAAAUGAACUUGAACAGGCAAUCACUGGCCAGCAGUGGGUGACACCUCUGUUGCCAGCUGCCUGGAACAUUCCUGACUCAUCAACUUUCAGCCAGAACCUGACCACAAACCUAUAUGGAGAAAAGGAACCUACACAAUUCCUCAACUUCUGCCCCAUCUUUUUUACAGCUCAAACAUGGGCGGCAUCCAAUGAACAGGAAGCUAUAAGUGGAGCUUAUGGUGGUGGCCUGAGCUGAGUGACACGUGCUUUUGGUAAUGACUUCAGUGACACUUGCCUGGAGCCGGCUGGAAGUCUCCAUCCAGGAAUCGGUCGGUGGGGUCGGGGAUGUAACGCAACACCAGGCUGUUCUCCCUGGCUGGCAAGGCAUGCUGCAGGAAAUCAGACCAGGCUGUCUAUGCACCCUGAGUACCACCAACCCCUUGUGACGAAAGAGUGAGGAUCUUCCUGUUUCUGAAUGAGAUCAACAUGACUGCAUACCACUACAGGCAGGUCCCUGUGGGGUGGAUAGUCUCUGACAGUGCUGUCAUGGUCCACUUACCCCAUUCCUGUUGUGGCACGUCUCAAUGCUGCUGUUCAGGCUCUGUGACAAGAGAGACAGAUAAAGAGGAAACACUCCUCCAUCCGCCCGUAGGAACGCAUUCCACCUAAGGGAACUCAAGAUUACAGCAUGAACUCAUUCGCUCGUUUCCAAAAGCUACGAAAUUCUCUGGAGCAGA